rnacentral:rRNA from 1 species
AUUGAACGCUGGCGGCAUGCCUUACACAUGCAAGUCGAACGGCAGCGCGGGGCAACCUGGCGGCGAGUGGCGAACGGGUGAGUAAUAUAUCGGAACGUACCCUGGAGUGGGGGAUAACGUAGCGAAAGUUACGCUAAUACCGCAUACGAUCUAAGGAUGAAAGUGGGGGCUCGCAAGACCUCAUGCUCCUGGAGCGGCCGAUAUCUGAUUAGCUAGUUGGUGGGGUAAAGGCCUACCAAGGCAUCGAUCAGUAGCUGGUCUGAGAGGACGACCAGCCACACUGGAACUGAGACACGGUCCAGACUCCUACGGGAGGCAGCAGUGGGGAAUUUUGGACAAUGGGCGCAAGCCUGAUCCAGCAAUGCCGCGUGAGUGAAGAAGGCCUUCGGGUUGUAAAGCUCUUUUGUCAGGGAAGAAACGGUGAAGGCUAAUAUCCUUUGCUAAUGACGGUACCUGAAGAAUAAGCACCGGCUAACUACGUGCCAGCAGCCGCGGUAAUACGUAGGGUGCAGCGUUAAUCGGAAUUACUGGGCGUAAAGCGUGCGCAGGCGGUUUUGUAAGUCUGUCGUGAAAUCCCCGGGCUCAACCUGGGAAUGGCGAUGGAGACUGCAAGGCUAGAAUCUGGCAGAGGGGGGUAGAAUUCCACGUGUAGCAGUGAAAUGCGUAGAGAUGUGGAGGAACACCGAUGGCGAAGGCAGCCCCCUGGGUCAAGAUUGACGCUCAUGCACGAAAGCGUGGGGAGCAAACAGGAUUAGAUACCCUGGUAGUCCACGCCCUAAACGAUGUCUACUAGUUGUCGGGUUUUAAUUAACUUGGUAACGCAGCUAACGCGUGAAGUAGACCGCCUGGGGAGUACGGUCGCAAGAUUAAAACUCAAAGGAAUUGACGGGGACCCGCACAAGCGGUGGAUGAUGUGGAUUAAUUCGAUGCAACGCGAAAAACCUUACCUACCCUUGACAUGGCAGGAAUCCUUGAGAGAUCAGGGAGUGCUCGAAAGAGAACCUGCACACAGGUGCUGCAUGGCUGUCGUCAGCUCGUGUCGUGAGAUGUUGGGUUAAGUCCCGCAACGAGCGCAACCCUUGUCAUUAGUUGCUACGAAAGAGCACUCUAAUGAGACUGCCGGUGACAAACCGGAGGAAGGUGGGGAUGACGUCAAGUCCUCAUGGCCCUUAUGGGUAGGGCUUCACACGUCAUACAAUGGUACAUACAGAGGGCCGCCAACCCGCGAGGGGGAGCUAAUCCCAGAAAGUGUAUCGUAGUCCGGAUUGUAGUCUGCAACUCGACUACAUGAAGUUGGAAUCGCUAGUAAUCGCGGAUCAGCAUGUCGCGGUGAAUACGUUCCCGGGUCU